UUUCUUAUAAAGAAUUGUGAUUGAGAGAAAUAUUGUUAAAACUAUGAUUAGAAUAUUAUGGAAUAUGACUUUGGAUUGACCAUUUUAGAGAAAAUCUGUGAUCUUCAGAAUUGAGAUUAUCAAAUUGUGUUGUGUUAAGUGAAGAUAUUGAAUUCUGUAUGAUGAAUUGAGAAACUGAAUAUAAUAAGUAAGUUGGAGAUUAGUAAUUGAAUAUAUAUAAAGUGUAAAGAGAGUAAGUGGAAGAUGAAUUGAUAAGAAUAUGGAAGUAUUAUUGAAUUGAUAGUCGUAGAAUGGAUUAUGUGUUAAAUUAAGAUGGAAGUAAUAAGCCUUAUUGUUUUGUAGUUUGAUAAUUGAUUUUAGGUAGUUAGAGUACAGUUAAUUGUGACACUA
rnacentral:lncRNA from 1 species